UUGGAGGGCAAGUCUGGUGCCAGCAGCCGCGGUAAUUCCAGCUCCAAUAGCGUAUAUUAAAGUUGUUGCAGUUAAAAAGCUCGUAGUUGAAUUUUAGGCCUGGUUGGGCGGUCUGCUCUAGGGUUUGUACUGUCCUGACUGGGUCUUACCUUCUGGUGAGCUGUCGUAUUGUUUACUCAGUGCGGCAGGGAACCAGGACUUUUACUUUGAAAAAAUUAGAGUGUUUAAAGCAGGCAUUCGCCUGAAUACAUUAGCAUGGAAUAAUAGAAUAGG
rnacentral:rRNA from 1 species